rnacentral:rRNA from 1 species
CUCGUAGUUGGAUUUCUGCCGAGGACGACCGGUCCGCCCUCUGGGUGCGUAUCUGGCUCGGCCUGGGCAUCUUCUUGGAGAACGUGUCUGCACUUGACUGUGUGGUGCGGUAUCCAGGACUUUUACUUUGAGGAAAUUAGAGUGUUUCAAGCAGGCAUACGCCUUGAAUACAUUAGCAUGGAAUAAUAAGAUAGGACCUCGGUUCUAUUUUGUUGGUUUCUAGAGCUGAGGUAAUGAUUAAUAGGGAUAGUUGGGGGCAUUCGUAUUUAACUGUCAGAGGUGAAAUUCUUGGAGUUGUUAAAGACGGACUACUGCGAAAGCAUUUGCCAAGGAUGUUUUCAUUGAUCAAGAACGAAAGUUAGGGGAUCGAAGACGAUCAGA